rnacentral:rRNA from 1 species
UGCAGUCGAACGAUGAAGCCCAGCUUGCUGGGUGGAUUAGUGGCGAACGGGUGAGUAACACGUGAGUAACCUGCCCUUAACUCUGGGAUAAGCCUGGGAAACUGGGUCUAAUACCGGAUAGGAGCGYCYACCGCAUGGUGGGUGUUGGAAAGAUUUAUCGGUUUUGGAUGGACUCGCGGCCUAUCAGCUUGUUGGUGAGGUAAUGGCUCACCAAGGCGACGACGGGUAGCCGGCCUGAGAGGGUGACCGGCCACACUGGGACUGAGACACGGCCCAGACUCCUACGGGAGGCAGCAGUGGGGAAUAUUGCACAAUGGGCGCAAGCCUGAUGCAGCGACGCCGCGUGAGGGAUGACGGCCUUCGGGUUGUAAACCUCUUUCAGUAGGGAAGAAGCGAAAGUGACGGUACCUGCAGAAGAAGCACCGGCUAACUACGUGCCAGCAGCCGCGGUAAUACGUAGGGUGCGAGCGUUAUCCGGAAUUAUUGGGCGUAAAGAGCUCGUAGGCGGUUUGUCGCGUCUGUCGUGAAAGUCCGGGGCUUAACCCCGGAUCUGCGGUGGGUACGGGCAGACUAGAGUGCAGUAGGGGAGACUGGAAUUCCUGGUGUAGCGGUGGAAUGCGCAGAUAUCAGGAGGAACACCGAUGGCGAAGGCAGGUCUCUGGGCUGUAACUGACGCUGAGGAGCGAAAGCAUGGGGAGCGAACAGGAUUAGAUACCCUGGUAGUCCAUGCCGUAAACGUUGGGCACUAGGUGUGGGGACCAUUCCACGGUUUCCGCGCCGCAGCUAACGCAUUAAGUGCCCCGCCUGGGGAGUACGGCCGCAAGGCUAAAACUCAAAGGAAUUGACGGGGGCCCGCACAAGCGGCGGAGCAUGCGGAUUAAUUCGAUGCAACGCGAAGAACCUUACCAAGGCUUGACAUGUUCUCGAUCGCCGUAGAGAUACGGUUUCCCCUUUGGGGCGGGUUCACAGGUGGUGCAUGGUUGUCGUCAGCUCGUGUCGUGAGAUGUUGGGUUAAGUCCCGCAACGAGCGCAACCCUCGUUCCAUGUUGCCAGCACGUAAUGGUGGGGACUCAUGGGAGACUGCCGGGGUCAACUCGGAGGAAGGUGAGGACGACGUCAAAUCAUCAUGCCCCUUAUGUCUUGGGCUUCACGCAUGCUACAAUGGCCGGUACAAUGGGUUGCGAUACUGUGAGGUGGAGCUAAUCCCAAAAAGCCGGUCUCAGUUMGGAUUGGGGUCUGCAACUCGACCCCAUGAAGUCGGAGUCGCUAGUAAUCGCAGAUCAGCA